rnacentral:rRNA from 1 species
GAUGAACGCUGGCGGCGUGCCUAAUACAUGCAAGUCGAGCGAACAGGCGAGGAGCUUGCUCCUCUGACGUUAGCGGCGGACGGGUGAGUAACGCGUGGAUAACCUACCUAUAAGACUGGGAUCACUUCGGGAAACCGGAGCUAAUACCGGAUAAUAUAUUGAACCGCAUGGUUCAAUAGUGAAAGACGGUUUUGCUGUCACUUAUAGAUGGAUCCGCGCCGCAUUAGCUAGUUGGUAAGGUAACGGCUUACCAAGGCAACGAUGCGUAGCCGACCUGAGAGGGUGAUCGGCCACACGGGAACUGAGACACGGUCCAGACUCCUACGGGAGGCAGCAGUAGGGAAUCUUCCGCAAUGGGCGAAAGCCUGACGGAGCAACGCCGCGUGAGUGAUGAAGGUCUUCGGAUCGUAAAACUCUGUUAUUAGGGAAGAACAAAUGUGUAAGUAACUAUGCACGUCUUGACGGUACCUAAUCAGAAAGCCACGGCUAACUACGUG